UACGAAGGGGGCUAGCGUUGCUCGGAAUUACUGGGCGUAAAGGGCGCGUAGGCGGAUAUUUAAGUCGGGGGUGAAAGCCCAGGGCUCAACCCUGGAAUAGCCUUCGAUACUGGAUAUCUUGAGUUCGGGAGAGGUGAGUGGAACUCCGAGUGUAGAGGUGAAAGUUCGUAGAUAUUCGGAAGAACACCAGUGGCGAAGGCGACUCACUGGCCCGAUACUGACGCUGAGGCGCGAAAGCCAGGGGAG
rnacentral:rRNA from 1 species